rnacentral:sRNA from 1 species
CAUGAUAUAAUGGGAAACACGCAUUCCAACCAACACUCAUACUCUUUAUUCAUUUAAUCCACAACUUUCUGACCAUAUAUAAAAUGCACCUUCGUAUAGAUAUGGAUGCUACGAUCUUUCAGAUCCCUUCGGACGGCCGCUAGCAGGAUUUCAACUUCUGAUGGUUUCCACCCCAAUAUGCGAAUUAGAGGGGCGGACGAGUAUGCACCGAGCGCCUGGAACAUUUGUAGCUGAUGGUAUCGACCAAGCUCCUUGAGCUUCUCGUUUUUGGGCCAGGGACUGAAAGGUAACUGUGGUUUCGUUAAUCACACACACCAAAACAAGGUGCGAAAGCAGGUGAGGUAUUAAACCAUAAAAAUUUCACUUACAAUACGAUGCUCCGCCUUAACAUUCUUGAACCCGACUUUCUUCAUCCGAUCGGCCCAUGUAGACACUUGAGUCAUAGGCUUUCCAAAUUUUUCCGAUGCUUCAAUCACCAGAUCUCGCCAACGACGAAACUCCUUUGCUUUCACGAUGGUCUCAUCGCCGAAAAAGUCCAGCUCGAUUGACUGAAUUUCCAUCCAACCUUGUGGAUUGAGAUGUUUGUAAGCCUGCUGGAAUAGCUUGUCAUAGUCCUUGACCAUACCUUCCAUCUCACGAGCAUGGAUGAAGUCGAACGGCUGCGCAUACGACCAAGUAGAUUCGAAAUCGUCUACUUCGAACUUGCAGUUUGGCGGGACCCUAACGUUGUCACCAUCCAGUUAGGGAAUUCAAGAACCAAUCGGGAGUGGAGAAAACUCAAGAGUAUCCUAAUGGGAGGGUAUAUAUACCAUGAUGGUUGGAUAGGACUCAAGUCAUUCCCUGGAUUUCACCCCGAAUUAGAAAGCAGAAUACGCUUCACACUCCCUGGAUCUUGGAUACUAACCGACAACUUCUGUGCCUGGGUGAUCACUGCGGUUAUUCUUCAGUCAGCUAAAUACAACAAUCGAAUUGUCUAAAAUAAGCUGUAUGCUGGGGCAAACAUACUCUGCAAAAUCGAUUGCCCAUAUACCUACGUGCAUCCUCGCCUCCGUUAGCUAUCAUUCAAAACGUGGAAUAGAGGUAACGGAACGAAACGACGUUUGUUGGAUAGGAAUUGAUGAAAGGGAAAAGAGCACCUGUGCCAGUCCCUAAGUCAAGAACCCGCCCCACACUUUCGGGUACCGGGGCUAGGUAAAGGCCGCCGUCCAAAAGCGUUCGGUAUAUGUGGUGGUUCAAAUCCAUGCGGUCUUGUUCUUGCUCAUCAUUUGGCUACAGAAAGGCGCUUGUCAUUAACUAGAUGAAAGGUUUACGAUAUCGGCCGAAAGAUCUUCAACUAGAACAUAUUUACCAGAAUAUAUUCUCCUUCUUUAAACGCAUGGUAUCUUCUCCCAUUCUAAAGCGUCAUGUCGAAGGGUCGUGAGGUUAGUAAACAUUCUGUUCAGAUGUUUAGAAUAAUUGGCAAAGGCUGAUUACAAAGAACUGGUUUGAACAAUGAUAUAACAAUGUCGUUGACAUCGGGCAAAGACUUCUGCAAACUCGGAGGUGUUCUGGAGAAUUCAUGCCUCAAGGUUUUCUAGAGGGCACCAACCUCAUAUCUAAUAUAUUGGUUCAGUAUAGUAGUAUGAAGGGUUAUUAUAAUAUAUAGACCACGUACUUGUAGUUCAUAAUACUGGACGUAACUGACGCGGUGUAGCUAGCAUCGCCAAGUCUUUUAAGAGGCAGAGUCAGAAUCUGAUACAGUUUCCUAAAGAGAGACCGGAAAACAACAAAUUUAGUGAGGUUUUAUUUCUUUAUUUACUUUUGGUGAUGAUUGGGGGAGCAUUUACCUCCGCUUCAAUCAUCCGCGUAUCGAUAAUUGGGUGAUUGGCUGCCAUAGUGAGUUGAAAAACACCUUGUGGAUUAAGGACUAGAUAUGACCUGUCACAAAGGUAAUUAUAGCUUUUAUAGGUGAUUCUUUUGUCGCAGAAAGGGC